rnacentral:rRNA from 1 species
AUGUCACUGCUAGAGUGCCAAGGUCACAAGCUGCAACAUUCAGGGGGGAGGGAGCACUACACAAGCCAACAUGUGCUUGCUGCUGUUGACUUCGAUCUAAAGUUCACAUAUGUGCUGGCUGGCCAGGAAGGGUCAACACAUGAUGCUAACAUACUUAGUGAUAGCAUCAGUCGCCCUGAUGGCAUCAACAUCCCUGAUGGAAAGUUCUACCUAGGAGAUGCUGGCUAGGCAUGUCACUCAGCUGUUCUUCCACCCUUCAGGAAAACCAGGUACCAUCUUAACGAGUUCUCUGGUAGGAAUUACCCUAGGACUCCACAUGAGAUAUUCAAUCUUAGACAUUCCAGCCUUAGAAUAACGGUUGAGAGGGUAUUUCGAGCUCUCAAGAACAGGUUCAAGUUCCUGGACCAGAAGCCAUUCCACCCUUACCCUACCCAGAUUAAGCUUGUUCUUGCAUGUUGCAUUCUGCAUAACUAG